rnacentral:rRNA from 1 species
AUUAACCUCGGAUCAGGCAGGGAUACCCGCUGAACUUAAGCAUAUCAAUAAGCGGAGGAA